UGGGGUUGCUAACUCAAUGGUAGAGUACUCGGCUUUUAA
rnacentral:tRNA from 1 species